CCUACGGGUGGCAGCAGUCGAGAAUCAUUCACAAUGGGCGAAACCCUGAUGCUGCGACGCCGCGUGGGGGAAUGAAGGUCUUCGGUUUGAAACCUCCUGUCAUAGGGGAGCAAAUAAAACAGUUCCUACCACAUGAGCCACAGCCGACUACCUCUGUGCAAGCAGCCGCGUUAAUACAGAGGUCGCAAGCGUUGUACGGAAUGACUGGGAGUAACGGGUGCGUGGGCUGAUUGGUAAGUUGUGUGUGACGGGCGCGGGCUCAACCCACGGACGGCAUAUGAAACUGCGAGACUUGAGUAAUGGAGAGGGAGGCGGAAUUCUCGGUGUAGCAGUGAAAUGCGUAGAUAUCAGGAAGAACUCCGAUGGCGAAGGCAGCCUGCUAAACGGCCACUGACGGUGAGGCGCGAAAGUGUGGGUAGCAAACAGGAUUAGAUACCCGUGUAGUC
rnacentral:rRNA from 1 species